AUAUGAUUUUUAAUAAAGUAAGAAAAUGCAUUUAAAUACAAUGUAUGUCAAAACAGAUCCAGAUAAAAUAAUAUCCUUUUUUCAGAUGUAUAACCAUCAUUGUUUUUUUAUCAUUUACUGUUUCAACUGCUUGUCAUAACGAGGCUUUGAAUCUUGGCUAUCGGUUUCAUCUUCAUUGGCCUUGUAUUGCUUUACGGUCGUGACUUGCUCUAAUAAAAAGUAAAUUUAAUCUGCAGAAACUAUUUUAAGGCUUUGUUCUAAUCUGAUAAAUGUGAAUGUAUUAAAAUGUUGAUUUAUAUUUAAACAGGUGAACAUUUGGUUGGACCAUUUGACGAGUGUUUCUGCCAACAGAAAACGGGGCAAGGCAAAGGCGUCCGUGACACGGUCUUUGAAAAAGGUUCAAGCUUCUAUCCAGGCCCAAGCUCCUAUCAAGGUUCAAGCUCCUAUAUAUCCCGACUCAAGCUCCCAUCCAGGCUCCUGCUCCUAUCCAGGCUCUUGAGGAAAGUGCACCAGAUU